UGGCGCAGUCUCUGGGCUGGCUCUGCCUCCCGAUGCCAUCGCUGCCGGAGCUCCAGUGCCGCUCCUUCCCCUCCUCACGCCGCGUGUGUGUCCGUCUGCGCUGGCGGUGGGGCUGUGGGCAGCGGCGGGCAGCUCCCUUGGCCGGGCGGGGAGGGUCGGUGUGAGGAGCGGCGUGAGGGACGGAGCGAAGCGAGCGGGGCCGGCAUGGAACUCCUCGCCGCUUAUUGCGCGCUGCCUCUCCUUGCUGCUCUGCUCUGCCGCGCCGGGAGGUGAUGCCAUCUUUUUUGCAUCGUGUCCUGGUCCUAGUAGUUUUGGAAGAUCUCAGCACAUCUUCAAGGCUAAUUGCAAACAAAUACAAAUUGAUGAGAGACACUUUUGCCAUUGGCAUGUGGGACGCUGAGAAGUAAUGCGUUGUGUCCAGAAAAUCUGUGGCAUUCCUGUGGAACCAAACCCGCCUCCCCUCUGUGUAGCUCUCGGGGGUGCAGAUAAGGGGGCUGCUGGGACAAGUACAAGCUGAGCGAUUUUGCUGCCUGCUGGGACCAUGCCGGGAGGCUGUGGAGUCUAAGCCAUGAUUUUUAUUUCCCCAGCGGUGUUAGAGUCAAUAGCUCCCGCUAAAACAAACACUCCUGUUACCGAGGUAGAAGAUCUACCUAAAAGCAAAGCGUGGUACCCCGGUGGCAAAGGUCCGCAAAUUGCUGUGGGGAGACAAAAUGCUGAGCUGUCGGUCAGCGUUACUGUGUUACUGGUUGCUCCGUCCGGUCCGGCGCUUCCUGGAGUGGCUGCACGAAGUUCCGCGAUGGAGCGGGCGGUGGGGCCGGGGCCGGCUGGAAGCUGAAGGUUGGCUCUUGCAGCUGCCGCGGGGUAGGCUGCGGGACUUGUCCUCACGCGUUGCCGUCCCGCGCUGCGAGAUGAGUUUCCCUGUAAAGGCUGGCCAUCUUUGUGAAAUUUAGAGCGACAGGAAUCAGCAAAACUGCAUCUAGGGUUCUUGUGGAGCCUGUUUGAUGUUUAUGAAGGAUUGUUGCGGGGUUUUGGCAUCAGGCACUUUAAGAAAUGCAGAACGGGCUGCCUCCGUGAUCCCUUCCAGGGCUUCUCUUGGCCUGGCCAUUAGGAUCGGGAAUGCAAGGAUCCUUAAGGUAUCUUGCACUGUUCCUGUGGAAGAAUAUUCAGUGUCUGUGACAGAGGCUUUGUUCUUGCAAGGACCCAUCUGAAGAGAUGAGUAGAUGUGUUUUCAGAAGUUCAGCUGGUGAGUAGGCUGGGAGCAAAGGUACACAUCUGAGCGAUGCCCUCAAGCACCUGAUUUUCAAGGAAACCAUUGAGAAAAAUCACUUUACAAAGUCAGAUUUGUGAAGCUGCUGGAGCCUUUCUAGGACCUG